rnacentral:rRNA from 1 species
ACGGGGCCCGCACAAGCAGCGGAGCAUGUGGCUUAAUUCGACGCAACGCGAAGAACCUUUACCACCUUUGACAUGGCAGGAAGGCUUCAGAGAUGAGGCUGUGCUCGAAAGAGAACCUGCACACAGGUGCUGCAUGGCUGUCGUCAGCUCGUGUCGUGAGAUGUUGGGUUAAGUCCCGCAACGAGCGCAACCCUUGCCAUUAGUUGCUACGAAAGGGCACUCUAAUGGGACUGCCGGUGACAAACCGGAGGAAGGUGGGGAUGACGUCAAGUCCUCAUGGCCCUUAUAGGUGGGGCUACACACGUCAUACAAUGGCCGGUACAAAGGGCUGCAAACCCGCGAGGGGGAGCCAAUCCAUCAAAGCCGGUCGUAGUCCGGAUCGCAGUCUGCAACUCGACUGCGUGAAGUCGGAAUCGCUAGUAAUCGUGGAUCAGCAUGUCACGGUGAAUACGUUCCCGGGUCUU